UCUGGUUCAAUAGGAGCUCCCUUUGAAGCAAUUCCUAUUUGGCGCCUGUAGUGCCACUUAUAGCUUCGCGCCUUCACGGCACACACCCUAAUGGGUGCUACAUAAGAAAUGGGCCAGCCCAUGUUGGUACUACUUAACAAAGCUUUCCACCACUGGUUUAGGAAGAUGCAAGAUGCUUCAGUGUCUCACUGAUGGAGUCUAUACCACACGAGGAUUCAUCAAGGUACUUGUAACAUUAGGGGUGUUUUGGUAUGCUCGAAGAAAGUCUAUCCAUGAUCAUGUAUUUCAGGGGCCAUUAGCUACUAAUCAGUUUGUCAAGAAUUAUUUACGGGAGCUUCAAAUUUGCAAACCUUUGAAGCAACAUGCAGCUGUUCAAACACCUUCAAGACAACAUCACACAUAGAUCCCGCCGCAUGCAGGAACUGCAAAACUUCGUGUUGAUGGUGUUUUGUCACGUGACACAAUGAAAGGGACUUCCAAUGUAGUUUGCAAGGAUUCCACUGGGAAAUAUCUAGGCUCUUCGGCGAUAAAAUAUCAAGGUGUGAAUGACCCAGCAUCGUUGGAGGCUUUGGCUUGUCGUGAAGGGAUCUCACUUGCCCUUGAGUUAUCACUUACACACAUACAAAUAGCUUCAGAUUGGCAAGGGGUGAUCAAAGGUAUCUACGGAAAUAUGGGUCUUCUAUACUCUAGCAUUAUUAAGAAAAUUAAUCUUAUAUCUCAAUAGUUCUCUCGUUGUUCCUUAAUCUUCGAAGAAAGAGAAACUAAUCUUGAGACACAUAGCCUCGUUAAGCAUACUCUAUGCCUUUCUUUAGGAUGUCGUGUGUGGCUACUUAAUCCUUUGGAUCUAUAUUCUAUCCCCAUACAUUUUUAUAAUAAGUAAAGUGGAGCGUAUUUAGACUAAAAAAAUCACGGUUUUAGGAAGCUCCAAGAAGCUUAUAACAGAUUUUGGGAAACCUUUAAAAGCUUGCGACCUUUUUUCUUUGUUUAUGUUUUUGGAUUUUUAUUUUCUAUUUUCUAUUUUUAUAUUUAUUUUAUUUCUUUUCCAUGAUUUUUUUGUCAAAUGUAUGAUCUUUUUAAUAUCCAUGAAAAUCCUAGAAAAAACUUAUAGUCCGCUAUAGCAUUUAAGAGACCGUAGGUGCCGGUUAGAGAACUUAAACCGAAUUUUCACUCUGUCAACCGGUUUAAAUGGGCCGUCAAGAGUUACUCUAAUAGCGAAUUUUAAGGCUGGUAAUAUUUUGCUAUAUCUUGCUAUUUUUUUCCUCUCAGCGCAAAAUAGAAUGAAAACUUUGUUUCGUUCAGCACUUAACACGUGCAUGAUCUAUUAAAUCCUGUGUGUGACUCAAUAUUGACUCUUUUCUCUGUGACUGUGAGUUCCACUAAUUGACAAAGCAAAGACUAUCUAAAGUGUCAAAAUAAAGGGAAUCUUUAAUGUAAUAAUUGAUUGAAUGGAAACUCGAAAUGAUGCCCAAAUAAAAUGCAUACAACCAUCAAGAUUAAAUGCAUAGAAGCAUUGAUGCUUCACAUCAACCCAAGUUAAUGGCAACAUGGUUGUUGCUUCACAUCAGAUCUGAGCUAAUGUGAUAGUACUCCUAUUUAAGGGUGAGAGAAUAGUAUGAUUCUAUUUAACGUGAGAGGAAAUAUGAAAAAUGGUUAUCAGUCAUUCUUCGAACCUGAUCCAAGCAAGGAGUAGUGUCUAUCGCUUCACACCCAGCUGAUGUUGCUUUUCCAAUGUUGUUUGACAUCGUACGACUUGGAAGCCUGAGAAUUUUAGAGUGCGUCAACUUAAGUUUGUACAUAACGUUGCAUCAUUGUGAUAGUCAGCUAGACAUGGGCUCUUUGGUCAAGUGUGUGGGUGUGUGUUGGUGCCUACACUAGUGUAUUCUCAGUGUAUUUCAUUGUGACGUGGCAGCGUACACAGUACGUUGGGUCCCUCCUUGGGGAAUGGGGGAGAGGUGGCAUCCUGCUCUCAUGAUUCCCUACUGAUUGUUGGUCGACAUUUCCUCCUCUUGUUGGUGUGGUGAAAUUCAAAUAUUCAAUAGACAUUUCUUCUCAAGAAAGGCAUGAUAUUCGAAGCUCCUACCUCUAUCCAUAGAUGGUGAAGACGAAGAGAGAAUUUGAAGUUGUUUAUUGCAAGUAUAGUGUGAGUGUGGUUAGUUUACGAUACAACGUCAAUGACAUANGUGUGUGAAUGUCCAUGUGCUCGUUAUGUCGCAUUAAAAUACACGAUGUUAGAACAUGUUUAUGAGUCAUUCUUUAUACCUCAUCCCAGCAAGGAGUAGAGCACAACACUUCAUACCGAGCUGGUGUUGCUCUUGCAAUGUUGUGUGACAUCCCAGGACUUGGAAGCAUCAGAAUUUUAGAGUGCAUCAACUUAAGUUUAUACAUAACGUGGUGUCCUUGUAUUGGUCAGCAAGAGAUGGGCUCUUGGUCAAGUGUGUCGGUGCGUGUUGGCAACUAGGCUAGCGUACUCUCAGUGGCAGUGUACACUGGAUGUUGGGUCUCUCCUUGGGGUAUGGGGGAGAGGUGGCCUCCUGAUCUCAUGAUUCUCUAGUGGUUAUUGGCCGACAUUUCCUCCUCUUGUUAUCGAUGCUCGUGUGGUGAAAUCCAAUAGACAUUUCUUCUCAAGAACGACAUGAUGUUCAAAGCUCCUAGCUCUAUCCACAUGUGGUGAACACGACGAGUGAAUGUGAAGUUGUUGUUUGCAAGUAUAGUGUGAGUGUAGUUAGUUUACGAUCCAACAUCAAUGGCGUCGUACCAGAGGGAAUAUUGCGGAAUGUUCUAGAAUAGGGAAUGAAUAUAUUUUGAAAACACAAACACUACAAAAUUUAUAUCACUUGUAUAUUAUAUUUGAUUAUCUAAGAAAGCUUAAUAUGAUUACCGAGAGCUCUCAUGAUUGUGUGUGAAUGUCCAUGUGCUCGUUAUGUCGGAUUAAAAUACACGAACUCACAUCAAAUCAAAGUUCAAUGUAGUAGUACUCCUAAUUAGGCCUAUAAGAUCAUAGCCUCCUACUUAAAGUGAGAAGAAAGAUGAAACAUGUCCAUUAUUCAAAAACAAGCCAUUCUUCCUACCCGAGUGUUGUAGUUCAAACUCGGGAUCUAUUUAGCUACUGUGGCUCGGGCUGCCAUGUCACGCUUUCUUGUUUUGGUGCCAUGACAGCAUUUUUAGGUCAAUAAACCGUGAAAUGGUACAGGUUUGCGUGGUCACUGUCAUGUUACAUAGCUAGUUGAAUAGGUCUCGUAGCCAUUGCCAUUGGUUUUCGAUUGAUCUAGUCAUGGGAUGGCGCGAUAGAACGGGUCUGCCGGAGCUUGAGGUGAUGGCAUAGACCAUGCGUGCAUGUUUUGGCUCGCGGGGUGACACGAUCCCCAAAUAUUAGAAACACUACAAUAUUUAUACCAUUUGUAUAUUAUAUUUAAUCAUGUAAGGAAGCUCAAUAUGAUUAUCGAGAGCUCCCUCAAUAAUGUAUGAAUGUAGUACUCCUUUUGUCGGAAUAAAAUACAUGGAAUCACAUCAAAUCAAAUUUUAAUGUAGUGAUGUUCCUACUCAAGCCUGAGACCAUAGCCACCUACUUAAACGUGGGAAGAAAUAUGAAACACGACCAUUAUUCAGAAACAUGCCAUUAUUCACACAUGAGCCAGAAAUGAGUACAUCUGAAUGGUUGUUAGAGUAUGUAAUGUUUGCAAGUUUUGCACUCCGGGUUUGAAUUGCUUUGCAAUGUCGCCGAAAAACCCACAUAUAUCUUAACACUUAAAAGCACCAAAGUUUACGAGUACACUAAACUAGGUUCGUACACAAAGUAGAUUAGAGGAAGACAAUGUGCUGGUGAUGAAGAGUACCAAUGAAAGUGGAAGCAGGACCAAGAGGAAGGGAUCGAGCCCACGGGUUUUGACGUGGUCCUUCAAGGACAAGUUUUAGUAGUUGUAGCACAUGGAUGCAUGUGGUGUCACCGUCAAGAAUCAACCACCACCGGAGAACAAGACCAAGGGCAUAUUUGAUACUCAACAUGGAGCUCAAUUAGGCCAGCGGUGCAAAUUUGGUGGGUUUGGUUGCCCCAACUACAUCCGAUUCAUGGCCCGCAUGAAACUCAAGGUAAUACUAGGACUGGCUUGCUGGAAAUGGCUACAUCGACCAUUUUUCAUUGCCAGUCUCGAGAGAGUCACGGAUGUGUCUCAAGUGCAUGCUUAGGAAAGCGUGGGAGACAUUUCAGAUCCACCUUAACUUCCACUCAUAUCUUCCCUCACCUCCCAAACACAUUCAUGCCUCUCUCUCUCUCUCACACCACGUGUUGGCUGUCACUGAUGGCCGCUCCACCACCUCAUCGCCCCAUUCCUUGCCUGGAUGGCAUCGACAUCCACAACCACUUGGUCGAUGACUUGAUGAUGGUGGGCGUGGAUCACUGUUAGUGGCGAGGGAUCUCAAGUCACCUCCCCCUUUUGCACAAGACUGCGUCCGUGAACAUCAACCCCCUAUCAGCGUUCAUUCCUGUGCUUGGGCUGACAAGUAUAUUACAGUUGCAACGACAAUGUGGAUAGGGGUUGCGGUGGUGGGCACGUCGGCAAUGGCGAGGGUGGCGAUUUUGACCUAAGGGGUUUAUUCCCCUUCCGUGGAUCCAUUUCUAUGUGAUUGCUAUGUAGGAUCAAUUUGAGUGAUAGCUAGUAUUGUAGCACUACGAUGCAUGAUUGUUAUUUGUGCAUUCUUAGAACGGUUUUAGGACUCUAUAAAUGAUUAAGAUUUAAGACAAGUGCACAUUUCUCAAAUUAAUGAACUAAUCAGGGCAAGCACACAUUGCUGAAAGUGCUGAACUGAUUAAGGCAAGUGCACAUUGAUAAGAUCAGUGCAUUGAUCAAGAUAAGUGCACAUUACUAAGAUCAAUGCAUUGAUCAAUGCGAUGCUUAUGUUUAUGAUGAGUGCAUUCAUAAAUUGUAGUCCCUCCGUAAAGAAAUAUAAGAUUGUUUAGAUCACUACUUAAGUGAUCCAAACACUCUUAUAUUUCUUUACUGAGGGAGUAAUAGACAUUGCCAGGAUCAACACAAUGAUGAAUGCAAUGCACAUAGGGUAUGCUUAGUGCAUUGAUUUGACCGAUUCAUAUAUAGAUGUGCGGUACAAUGGUAGGUAUGCUCCAUUUCUAUGUGAUUGCUAUGUAGGAUUUCUAUGUGCGCAUGUCUAUAUUGUUCAACCACAUCUUUUAUACUAGUAAGGUCAUGAAUAAAAACUGAAAGGUCAUGGAUGGUGGUGACUAUCGAAGUUAGUUUUGGCAGAUCGGUUGAUAAGGUAUUUUGGUUAGACGACUAGAUCGGAUGAGAAAAAGGGAAGGGUUACCAUGGUUCAGGCCCUACCGGAGGUGGUAAGACCCUACUUCUUGCUCGAUGUUAUUAUGUAUAGGGGUUACUUCAUGCCCGACGUCCUAGGCCUCUCCAAGUUUGACAUCCAGGUGCGUGCAUGCACAACACCAUGGUCACAUCCCCCAUUUCUUCUAGGACUGAGCUCGAUUUAAAAUCAACAAUGAACUAACAUUUGGGCACAUAAUCAUUUCUCAAAAUGUGUCUGUGUAGGAGGACACCAUGUUGUGAUGAAGAGGGCCAUCGCAGGCGGCGAGGCGAAGCACAAGCGACAAGAAGAGGAGGGGGAUUGACGCUAUAUCCAGGUGUAGCGCCGUGCAUCAUCGCAGUCCUUCUUGCGCAAGUUCGGACUACCAAAGGACGUGGACGCGGGUAUCGUCGCCGCGGGCUGCAAGAACAGGGUGCCCACCGUCACCAUCAAGCAAGUGCCGGAGAAGAAGACUAAGUACGUCCAGGUCGCAAUCGCUUGAUCGAGCCCAUCACUCAAGCGAACUUUCAGUACCCCAUCAACGUCAUGAGUGAUUGUUCCAGCAGCAGAGUAGUGUGGCAAGUACUAGAUUUUGGUCCUCUCUUGUGGUCUCAUGCUCUGUUCAUGAUCUGGCCGGAGAUUAGGGACGUGUUUAGUUACGUGCACCAUUUUUUGACCUUUAGCAUGCUUGACCCAAUUGGGCUUGGCUGAGCAUAUGCAGGCAAAAAACCAACAUGUGCAUGUUGAUUCGUUGCCUACAUUGCAUCAAGGCCCAACUCGGUGCAUGUUGUUUGGUUACUUGUGUUUGUGCUUCGGGUGUAAGCAGAUGCAAAUCACAUCUGUUUGGUUGUGUGCGAGUACUUGAUCUGCUCAUCCCUUUCUAAUGUGGUGGACUUACCACCCAUUUGUCAGCACACACAACACACACAACACACGCAACACAAACUGAUCCAUAACAACAAGAUCAAAGCAAGAACACAUCAAGAACAAACCAAGAACAAAGCAAGCACAAGAAUUAAAAGUACUACUAGGCAUAUGUUUUAAAACAGUAGGGCAUCACAUGCCCCUGCUGGACCCUAGAGUGCUGGUCCAUGGGCAAAAUAUAGGAAAGUUCAUAGCAAAAGAGACGAUUGGGCUUCACCUCAAACCUACACUACUUAAGUUCACACUACGAGGAAAAAACUACAUAGCAUGAGCGAUGUUGCCGACACAACUGUGCUUGGAGCACCAGACCCUGCACAUGGUGGAUAUGUUUGUUCGGGAACGUAGCAUGGGAAACAAAAAAAUUCCUACGCACACGAAGACCUAUCAUGGUGAUGAUCAUCUACGAGAGGGAGAGCGGAUCCACAUACCCUUGUAGAUCGCUAAGCGGAAGUGUUAAUAAACGCGGUUGAUGUAGUGGUACGUCUUCACGAUCCGUCCCACGAACCGUCCCACGAUCCGUCCCAUGAACCGUCUCGUGAUUCGUCCUGAUCAAAUGCCGAACGGACGACACCUCCGCGUUCCGCACACAUAAAACCCGAUGACGAUUUUCGCCUUCUUGAUCUAGCAAGAUAGACGGGGAUGUACAUGAGUUCCUCGGCAGCGUGACGGCGCUCUGGUGGUGGUGGUGAUCUUAUUCCUGCAGGGCUCCGCCCGAGCUCCGUAGAGAACCGAUCUAGAGGAAAAACUACGAAGUAGAGGUUUAGGGUUGCACGUGGCAAAGUUGUGUCUCAAAAAGCCCUAAACCUCUAGUAUCUAUAGGAGGAGGGAGGAGGCAGCCUUGGAUCCACAAGGGAGACUCCCUUGGGUCAGACAAAGUGGAGGAGGGAGGAGUCCUCCUCCAAUCCCACUUGGAUUAGGACUCCUUCCUUAUUUUCCCACCUCUUUUGGAUUUGCUACUUUUACCUCAUGGGCUUUCCUUGGAUGACUUUGUCAGCCCAUUAUGCCUUAUUGCACAUCCAAUAAAACCAUGUGGACCCCUUGGGGCAUGGUGGGCCCACCCAGUGGGCCCCUGGAACCCAUUCGUCACUGCCGGUACACUGCCGGCAAUGCCCAAAAACCUUCCGAAAUCCAAAUACCAACUUCCUGUAUAUCAAUCUUCAUUUCCGGACCAUUCCGGAACUCCUCAUGACAUCCGGGAUCUCACCCGGGACAACAAACAAAACUUUGGUCACCAACACAUAUAACUCAAGUAUACCGAAACGUCACCGAACCUUAAUUGUGCAGACCCUGCGGGUUCGAGAACUAUGCAGACAUGACCUGAGACACUCCGUGGUCAAUAACCAAUAGCGGGACCUGGAUAUCCAAAUUGGCUCCCACAUAUUCUACGAAUAUAUCUAUCGGUUGAAUCUCUAUGUCAAGGAUUCAGUUAAUCCCGUAUGUUGUUCCCUUUAUUCUUCGGUAUGUUACUUGCCCGAGAUUCAAUCGUCGAUAUCUCCAUACCUAGUUCAAUCUCGUUACCGGCAAGUCUCUUUACUCAUUCUGUAAUACAAGAUCCCGUAACUAAGUCCUUAGUCACAUUGCUUGCAAGGCUUGUUGUGAUGUUGUAUUACCGAGUGGGCCCCGAGAUACCUCUCCGUUACACGGAGUGACAAAUCCCAGUCUUGAUCCAUGCCAACCCAACGGACACCUUUGGAGAUACCUGUAGAGCAGCUUUAUAGUCAUCCAGUUACGUUGCGACGUUUGAUAACCCACAAGGUAUUCCUUCGGUGUCUGGGAGUUGCAUGAUCUCAUGGUCAUAGGAACAAAUACAUUUACAUGCAGAAAACAGUAGCAAUAAACUGACAUGAUCAUACGCUAUGUUUAUAGUUUGGGUCUUGUCCAUCACAUCAUUCUCCUAAUGAUGUGAUUCCGUUAUCAAGUAACAGAACUUGUCUAUGGUUAGGAAACCUUAACCAUCUUUGAUCAACGAGCUAGUCAACUAGAGGCUUACUAGGGACAGUGUUUUGUCUAUGUAUCCACACAUGUAUUAGUGUUUCCAAUUAAUACAAUUAUUGUUUGAAAUAUGCCCUAGAGGCAAUAAUAAAUUAGUUAUUAUUAUAUUUCUUUGUUCAUGAUAAUCGUUUAUUAUCCAUGCUAUAAUUGUAUUGAUUGGAAACACAAUACUUGUGUGGAUACAUAGACAAAACACUGUCCCUAGUAAGCCUCUAGUUGACUAGCUCGUUGAUCAAAGAUGGCCAAGGUUUCCUGGCCAUAGGCAAGUGUUGUUACUUGAUAACGGGAUCACAUCAUUAGGAGAAUCAUGUGAUGGACUAGACCCAAACUAAUAGACGUAGCAUGUUGAUCGUGUCAUUUUGUUGCUACUGUUUUCUGCGUGUCAAGUAUUUGUUCCUAUGACCAUGAGAUCAUAUAACUCACUGACACCGGAGGAAUGCUUAACUGGGUGACUAUAAAGAUGCUCUAGAGGCAUCUCCGAAGGUGUUAGUUGAGUUAGUAUGGAUCGAGACUGGGAUUUGUCACUCCGUGUAACGGAGAGGUAUCUCAGGGCCCACUCGGUAAUACAACAUCACACACAAGCCUUGCAAGCAAUGUGACUUAGUGUAAGUUGCGGGAUCUUGUAUUACGGAACGAGUAAAGAGACUUGCCGGUAAACGGGAUUGAAAUAGGUAUGCGGAUACUGACAAUCGAAUCUCGGGCAAGUAACAUACCGAAGGACAAAGGGAAUGACAUACGGGAUUAUAUGAAUCCUUGGCACUGAGGUUCAAACGAUAAGAUCUUCGUAGAAUAUGUAGGAUCCAAUAUGGGCAUCCAGGUCCCGCUAUUGGAUAUUGACCGAGGAGUCACUCGGGUCAUGUCUACAUAGUUCUCGAACCCGCAGGGUCUGCACACUUAAGGUUCGACGUUGUUUUAUGCGUAUUUGAGUUAUAUGGUUGGUUACCGAAUGUUGUUCGGAGUCCCGGAUGAGAUCCAGGACGUCACGAGGAGCUCCGGAAUGGUUCGGAGGUACAGAUUGAUAUAUAGGAAGUCUUGUUUUGGUCACCGGAAAAAUUUCGGGCUCAUCGGUAGUGUACCGGGAGUGCCGGGAGGGGUGCCGGGGACCAUCGGGAGGGGUGUCACGCCCCAAGGGGUCUCAUGGGCUAUGGGAAGAGAUAAACCAGCCCCUAGUGGGCUGGAAUAAGUUCCCACUAAGGCCCAUAAGGUUUGAGAAGGAAAAAACACAAGGUGGAAAGAGUUUCCAAGUGGGAAGGUGGAAUCCUACUCCAAGUAGGAUUGGAGUAGGACUCCUCCACCUCCAAUUUCGGACAAACCUUGAGGGUUUGAGGCUGCCUCUUCCCUCCCCCUCCCUCCUAUAUAUACUAAGGUAUUAGGGCUGAUUUGAGACGACUUUUGCCACGGCAGCCCGACCNNNNNNNNNNNNNNNNNNNNNNNNNNNNNNNNNNNNNNNNNNNNNNNNNNNNNNNNNNNNNNNNNNNNNNNNNNNNNNNNNNNNNNNNNNNNNNNNNNNNCAACAUGCUACGUCUAAUAGUUUGGGUCUAGUCCAUCACGUGAUUCUCCUAAUGACGUGAUCCAGUUAUCAAGCAACAACACCUUGUUCAUAAUCAGAAGACACUGACUAUCUUUGAUCAACUGGCUAGCCAACUAGAGGCUUGCUAGGGACGGUGUUUUGUCUAUGUAUCCACACAUGUAAAUGAGUCUUCAUUCAAUAAAAUUAUAGCAUGGAUAAUAAACGAUUAUCUUGAUACAGGAAUUAUAAUAAUAACUAUAUUUAUU
rnacentral:lncRNA from 1 species